rnacentral:rRNA from 1 species
GGAAUAUUGGUCAAUGGGCGCAAGCCUGAACCAGCCAUGCCGCGUGAAGGAUGAAGGUUCUAUGGAUUGUAAACUUCUUUUAUUUGGGAAUAAACCUCUUUACGUGUAGAGAGCUGAAGGUACCAAACGAAUAAGCACCGGCUAACUCCGUGCCAGCAGCCGCGGUAAUACGGAGGGUGCAAGCGUUAUCCGGAAUCAUUGGGUUUAAAGGGUCCGCAGGCGGAUGUAUAAGUCAGUGGUGAAAUCUCUCGGCUCAACCGAGAAACUGCCAUUGAUACUGUACGUCUUGAAUUCGGUCGAAGUGGGCGGAAUAUGACAUGUAGCGGUGAAAUGCUUAGAUAUGUCAUAGAACACCGAU